AAAUCUCAAAAAAAUUCAAGUCAAUUCGACCAAUCUGGAAAGAGCAAUUGCCAUUAAAAAGGUGUUAACAUACAUUCCGAUGCGAGUGUGCCUAUCAACGAUACAUCAUUAAGUGCAAUUUCAAUGUAAGAUCAUUCUCAUCUUCCCCGGAGAUUUCACUGCUAUUAUAUGGAAAAGUGGCGUAAUCGCAGGGAUAAGUGAAAUAUUCUCGGCACUUAUCGCAUUAAUGAUGAAUUCAACCGUGCGAACAGAUUUACAUAAAGUAGUUUCAUCCAGUCCGCGCGAACGGGAAUAAUAUCGAUCGAAAUGCGUCGAUUUCGGUCCGCAUGGAUCUCAUUCCUGGCAAAGCUCGCGUCCAUUCGACGUGUCACGAUGUGGCAAUCGUCGCCCGGCCACGAGGAAUCGCGUGCAAUUCCUGCGAUUACUGCAACAUCUUGCAACCGCUCGGAUUCGCCGGAAUUUCGAGGCAGGAAGUGUCGAAAGCUUCGCGCGGAUCGAAUUUUCGGAAGGCCGUUCCGCGGGCCGCGGGGCCUUUUAGGCUGCGGGACGCGACACAAAGGACAAUUAGGCGCUCGACGAUGUUUUGCACUUCGAUUCGAGCUCGUUAACAGGCUCGCCGGAGACGUCUUAGUCAUCGGUGACCGACGGAGGCCGAUAAGUAACGUGCAAUUAUUUAGUUUCGCGCGAGUACUGCUACCUUCAAAAGUUACGAUCGCUGAUAAACGAGGCGGUGUUUGUUGUCGGCGGGAUUCGCGAAACUGUUUUUUGGUAUAUCGUGGCUCACGAGACAGACUUGCGACAGCAAUUUCUUAAUUGGAUUCGACUCGCUCUUUUUCCGGUUACGAAAUUUCCAACGACGGGACAACUCUUGCGAGCGUCACUCGCAAACGGGUAGUGAAGUAUUGGCAUGCGAGAGCUCUGCUUUCAUUCUAGUUUGUUUAAUUUUUGUACCGUUAAGGUUAUAUUCUUGACGGAUCAAACGAGAAAUGAAUCAUUGGAGAAUUAUUAGCUGGAAGGCGAAAACGAAAAUGCAAUGUUUUCGCUUUUGAUUUGGAGAAAUUAACGCUUCGCAAUAUCCAUGUAUAAAAAAUAUACACCCACAAUUAUCUCGUAUCAUUAUCUAAAGAAUGAGAUCAGGCGCGAGUAGAAUCGGAGCAACGUCCGAAAGAAACGAAUUACAUUUCUUUGUGUUUGAGAAAAGUACAAGCGCGAUAAAACCCGAAGAAGCGACUUUAACGAUCCCGAGGGCACGUUCCCGACAAGAAACAGGGCCGAUUCGUCGUCGUGAUUACUUUUUUCCAGCCGCGACGAAUAACGCUGUUUAUCUGUAGCCCAGAUGACGUCAGCUUGAUACGACAAAGACGUGUGUUUGCACGCAAGCGCGGCUGUGUACCGUGCGUUAUCAAUAUAGCAGCAAGUGUUACGAGCUACCAUAAGCCUUGAGCAUCUCUGAGCCUCUGUAAAUUGUUCGCCAUGUGAACGGAAAAAAUAAGAGCUGCGUGAACGCGCAAAAUCGCGAAAACGGCUGGCGGCGGAGUGACUCGUUUCGUAGCGCCGAAGAACGGACGACCGUGGAAAAUCGUCUCGAAGCACUGCUUAAACAGCACCUUGGCUGAAGGGAUAGCUCGUUCUAAAUGAUGGAUAAUCGGUUUCUUAUGGGCUUCUUAUCGCUUGCUAGGAAACGGUCGACGAAUCUUUCGAUGAACUGUACUUUCAUUUGACCGAAAUCGAAACGCGCUGAGAACUUACAUUUUAUGGAUCCUAAUCAAAUUUGGAUAAACUCUAAUAAAAUUCUACUCAAUGAGUUGUUUCAAGCGUCAACCAGGGUCACGUUCAUUUGAUCGAAUUAGAAUCAUAAUAAGUCACAUUUUCGUAUAUUUUGUCUCGUCUCUUAAAAUGUAAUCUAUACGUGCGAAAAUGUUAAAAAGACAAGCGAAAUAAACUAUAAUUUUACCGUAAA